rnacentral:rRNA from 1 species
UGCAGAGGUCUCAAGCGUUGUUCGGAUUCAUUGGGCGUAAAGGGUGCGUAGGCGGCGUGGUAAGUCGGAUGUGAAAUCUCGGAGCUUAACUCCGAAACUGCAUUCGAUACUGCCGUGCUUGAGGACUGGAGAGGAGACUGGAAUUUACGGUGUAGCGGUGAAAUGCGUAGAUAUCGUAAGGAAGACCAGUGGCGAAGGCGGGUCUCUGGACAGUUCCUGACGCUGAGGCACGAAGGCCAGGGGAGCAAUCGGG